rnacentral:misc_RNA from 1 species
UAGCAUAUAAAACUAUAAUUCUAUUCAAAAAAGUGCCAGGCAGACAAUAAAAUAGAACAAACAGCCCAACUUCAAACGAGGAAGCCACAAAUCGCCGGUAACUGGAUAGUAAACGCCAUCGCUGCCGUGUACAAUCUUUCUUCCCUGUCUCUCUCUUGGCUGCCGUACUAUCAAUCAGGUUCUCAGACCCUGAAAAUAAAGAUCCCAUUGGCGCCCAACCAGCAGAGACUGAAAACUCAAAGCUUAUGAUAAUUACCUUAUAUUGUCUCUAUCUCUUAUAAUCGGAUUAAUCGAUUCAUUAUCAAGCAUAAAUUUGAUCAACAUUGUAUAGCAAUUCACUGAAUACUGCUCAAUUUCUUGGAUUUUGGAGUUGCUGAAACAGGAAUAUGUUGGGGGAAGUGAGGUGGUGCGUGGUCACUGGAGGCAGGGGUUUUGCCGCCCGGCUUUUGGUGGAAAUGCUCGUUCGAUGCGAUAUUUUUUUUAGUUCGGAUUGCUGAUUUGGAGCCCUCCAUUCAACUAAGCGAGGAGGAGGAGAGCUGUGCACUUGGUGAAGCCUUGAAAUCUGGUUGCGCUAAGUAUAUAUCCGCAGAUCUCCGCGACAAGGCCCAAGUUCUCGAAGCUAUUGAAGGAGCUGAGGUUGUGUUCCACAUGGCGGUUCCUAAUUCUUCGGUUAAUAAUUACCAGCUCCACUAUUAGGUCAACGUACAAGGGACAAAGAAUGUUAUUGAUGCUUGUGUUGAACUAAAAGUGAAGAGGCUUAUCUAUACUAGCUCAGCUAGCGUGGUUUUUGAUGGGAUUCAUGGAAUUUUUAACGGAGAUGAAUCCUUGCCAUAUCCAACUAAGCCCCUUGAUUCAUAUACAGCAACUAAA